CUGCUGCCUCCCGUAGGAGUUUGGGCCGUGUCUCAGUCCCAAUGUGGCCGUCCACCCUCUCAGGCCGGCUACUGAUCGCUGCCUUGGUGGGCCGUUACCCAGCCAACUAGCUAAUCAGACGCGGAUCCAUCGUAUACCACCGGAGUUUUUCACACUGCCCCAUGCGGAGCCGUGCGCUUAUGCGGUAUUAGCACCUAUUUCUAAGUGUUAUCCCCCGGUAUACGGCAGGUUAUCCACGCGUUACUCACCCGUCCGCCA
rnacentral:rRNA from 1 species